ACCCGCUGAACUUAAGCAUAUCAAUAAGCGGAGGAAAAGAAACCAACAGGGAUUGCCCUAGUAACGGCGGGUGAAGCGGCAACAGCUCAAAUUUGAAAUCUGGCGUCUUUGGCGUCCGAGUUGUAAUUUGCAGAGGGCGCUUUGGCAUUGGCAGCGGUCCAAGUUCCUUGGAACAGGACGUCACAGAGGGUGAGAAUCCCGUACGUGGUCGCUAGCCUUUACCGUGUAAAGCCCCUUCGACGAGUCGAGUUGUUUGGGAAUGCAGCUCUAAAUGGGAGGUAAAUUUCUUCUAAAGCUAAAUACUGGCCAGAGACCGAUAGCGCACAAGUAGAGUGAUCGAAAGAUGAAAAGCACUUUGGAAAGAGAGUUAAAAAGCACGUGAAAUUGUUGAAAGGGAAGCGCUUGCAGCCAGACUUGCCUGUAGUUGCUCAUCCGGGUUUUUACCCGGUGCACUCUUCUAUAGGCAGGCCAGCAUCAGUUUGGGCGGUUGGAUAAAGGUCUCUGUCAUGUACCUCUCUUCGGGGAGAACUUAUAGGGGAGACGACAUGCAACCAGCCCGGACUGAGGUCCGCGCAUCUGCUAGGAUGCUGGCGUAAUGGCUGU
rnacentral:rRNA from 1 species